AGAUUAAGUUAUUAAGGGCGCACGGUGGAUGCCUUGGCACUAGAAGCCGAUGAAGGACGUUACUAACGACGAUAUGCUUUGGGGAGCUGUAAGUAAGCUUUGAUCCAGAGAUUUCCGAAUGGGGAAACCCAGCAUGAGUUAUGUCAUGUUAUCGAUAUGUGAAUACAUAGCAUAUCAGAAGGCACACCCGGAGAACUGAAACAUCUUAGUACCCGGAGGAAGAGAAAGAAAAUUCGAUUCCCUUAGUAGCGGCGAGCGAAACGGGAAGAGCCCAAACCAACAAGCUUGCUUGUUGGGGUUGUAGGACACUCUAUACGGAGUUACAAAGGACGACAUUAGACGAAUCAUCUGGAAAGAUGAAUCAAAGAAGGUAAUAAUCCUGUAGUCGAAAAUGUUGUCUCUCUUGAGUGGAUCCUGAGUACGACGGAGCACGUGAAAUUCCGUCGGAAUCUGGGAGGACCAUCUCCUAAGGCUAAAUACUCUCUAGUGACCGAUAGUGAACCAGUACCGUGAGGGAAA
rnacentral:rRNA from 1 species